rnacentral:misc_RNA from 1 species
UUCAUGCAUAGAGAGUUCCACAAAGCUCCUUGUACACUUAGCCAAUUUCUAGCUCAUUUGUGAAGUUUUAGGCUUGUAAAGCUACUCUUCUUGAGUUAUAAAAUUACUUCCCUUUUGCCAAAUUCUCCUAAGUGUGUUUUCCACUUUACUUUUACCUUCUCACCAUUUUUCAUACUUAUCACCCAUCUUAGUCUAUUUUGUAUAGACUACUUGAGUUGAGAGGCUGACUUAGUCUUGCCAAUCGACUAAGUGCCGCACGGUUUAAGCCCAAUUUGAGGUGAGCAAACACUUACUCCGUGACAUACUGCUCUGGAAUUUUGUCCUUCAAAUAUUUCAGAACGGCCUUUGUUCCUCUAUCUAAAAUUGUCCUUUGUAUGCUUCUCAAUGGAUUCCCAUCAAGUCUUAAGGCCUGUAGGCUUGGUUCAAGCAAACCCAGCUCUGGUGGAAGUGCU